GAUGAAGAACGUAGCGAAAUGCGAUAAGUAAUGUGAAUUGCAGAAUUCAGUGAAUCAUCGAAUCUUUGAACGCACAUUGCGCCCGCCGGUAUUCCGGCGGGCAUGCCUGUUCGAGCGUCAUUUCAACCAUCAAGCCCUGGGCUUGUGUUGGGGACCUGCGGCUGCCGCAGGCCCUGAAAUGCGGUGGCGGGCUCGCAAGACACACCGAGCGUAGUAGCUUACAACCUCGCUUUGGGAGUGCUGCGGGUGCUGGCCGUAAAGCGACCUUUUGCGUCUUUAGCACUAGGUUGACCUCGGAUCAGGUAGGAGGACCCGCUGAACUUAAGCAUAUCAAUAAGCGGAGGA
rnacentral:misc_RNA from 1 species